GAGAACAAUUUGGUAAGGAAAAUCCCAAGGAGGGAGACGGAGAACAAUUUGGUAAGGAAAAUCCCAUGGAGAGAGACGGAGAACAAUUUGGUAUGGAAAACCACAUGGAGAGAAACAUGGAAAAAUUUGGUAAGGAAAUCCCCACGGAGAGAGACAGAGAACAAUUUGGUAAGGAAAACCCCAUGGAGGGAGACAGAGAACAAUUUGGUAAGGAAAACCCCAUGGAGAGAGACAGAGAACAAUUUGGUAAGGAAAACCCCAUGGAGACAGAGAACAAUUUGGUAAGGAAAACCCCACGGAGAGAGACAGAGAACAAUUUGGUAAGGAAAACCCCACGGAGAGAGACAGAGAACAAUUUGGUAAGGAAAACCCCAUGGAGAGAGACAGAGAACAAUUUGGUAAGGAAAACCCCACGGAGAGAGACAGAGAACAAUUUGGUAAGGAAAACCCCAUGGAGAGAGACAGAACAAUU